rnacentral:rRNA from 1 species
ACUCAAAGGAAUUGACGGGGGCCCGCACAAGCGGUGGAGCAUGUGGUUCAAUUCGAAGCAACGCGCAGAACCUUACCAACCCUUGACAUGUCCCGUAUGAGGAGCAGAGAUGCACUUCUUCAGUUCGGCUGGCGGGAACACAGGUGCUGCAUGGCUGUCGUCAGCUCGUGUCGUGAGAUGUUGGGUUAAGUCCCGCAACGAGCGCAACCCUCGCCUCUAGUUGCCAUCAUUUAGUUGGGCACUCUAAAGGGACUGCCGGUGAUAAGCCGGAGGAAGGUGGGGAUGACGUCAAGUCCUCAUGGCCCUUACGGGUUGGGCUACACACGUGCUACAAUGGCGGUGACAGAGGGCAGCGAGUCCGCGAGGACAAGCUAAUCCCCAAAAGCCGUCUCAGUUCGGAUUGCACUCUGCAACUCGGGUGCAUGAAGUCGGAAUCGCUAGUAAUCGCUAAUCAGCAGGUAGCGGUGAAUACGUUCCCGGGCCUUGUACACACCGCCCGU